CCUAGCCCAAUUACACAUCAUCGGCGAUGACGUCAGCUUCUUCCUCCCCACCUCGCCUCCUCCUCCACUCCUCCACAACCAACGCAACGAGGCGAGCACGACACGAACGGAGGGGGGGAGCUGGGAACGGAUGGUGGGGCGAGAUCGGCGGCGGCCAUUCCCAAAACGCCAUCCGUCCAGAGAGAGGAGGGAGGCAGGGCCAGGAAUUGCGGGCACAAAUACCAUCACCAGCCCGGCCGUCCCUCUCUCCCCGCUGGAAGCUCCAAUCUAAACCGAGCCAAAGGAAGGAAGGAGGAGGGGGCCGGAUUGGAAACCCUAUUUCCAAUUCCUCCGUCCUCCUCUUCCUCCCUCCCUCCCUCCCAACCUCAAUCCGUCCGUCUCCCUUGUCCAGGACAAGGACAAGCAGUCGGAAAAGAGUGAUUCUUUGGCCGGCGGCGGGAGGGCGCCGCGCGCAAGAGGCGGCGAUUCCCCCCGCUGAUGCGCGGGCGUCCGGACACCGCUGACUGCCUUCUCCUAGCGCGCGCGUCGGGGAGGGUCGGGCGAGGAGGACGACGGGGAGGGGCGGCGGGCGAGAGGGGGCGUCGGGAGGAGCCAGCGCCAUAGCUCCCUCUUCUUUGAUGGGCAUUCCGUUCCAGCUCCAAUCCCAGCAGGGAAUACAGCAAGCGAAGGCCCUACUAGCAGAAAACAAAAUAAUGAUCAAAAAGGAAACUUCUCCAUCUGAACCUUUUGGGGGGCAACCUGCGAAAAAUGCAUCCACUCCGAAGCCAAAUAUGGCAACUGCUGCCAAGGUUAAUGCUAUGGUCGGAAAUAAGACAUGGUUUGGAGGGCUUUUCACUGGCUCAGGUAAAAAGCGUCAAGUCCAUGCCGAGAAGAACUUUGAGAUGACCCCUCUUCAGGAACAAAGGAUGCAAAAAUUAAAGGACAGACUAAACAUACCUUUUGACGAGACCCGACUGGAUCAUCUGACAUCCCUGAAGGCUCUUUGGAAAACUUCCUUUCCCGAUACAGAGCUCACGAGCUUAGUUUCCGAACAGUGGAAAGAUAUGGGGUGGCAGGGCCCAAAUCCUGCAACUGAUUUCAGGGGCUGUGGAUUUGUGUCACUUGAGAAUCUUCUAUUCUUCGCAAGAAGAUACCCGGCUUCUUUCCAGAAAUUGUUGCUGAAAACACAAGGAAUGCGAGCCACAUGGGAAUACCCCUUUGCGACAGCAGGCGUUAACGUCUCUCACAUGUUGAUCCAACUGUUGGAGCUUAAUUCAGCUCGACCGAAAACUUUGCCGGGGAUUAACUUCGUCAGGAUGUUGUCCGAGCAAGAGGACGUGUUCGACAUCCUAUACUGCAUAGCCUUCGAGAUGAUGGACGCUCAGUGGCUAGCGAUGCGCGCCUCCUACAUGCAGUUCAACGAUGUGCUGGAAGCAACAAAGUCGCAGCUGGAGAGGGAGCUGUCUCUGGAGGACCUCCUGCGGAUCCAGGACCUGCCGGCUUACAACCUCUUGUUGAAAUGAAGUAGGCUUGAGAAAAGAAGAAGAGAUAUAAAGCUGUAAAAUGUACGUUGGGUUCCUUCUCUCCUGUGUAACCGACCGAUGAAACAGGCAGAGUUUUGCUAUGAAAGCCUGAAUGUGCGUUUUCAGCAUCACAGUCUCUCUCUCAACCAUGCUGUUUCUAAAGAGGAGCAAUCUGCCUUACACCGAGCACCCCCGCACGGGCAUCGCGCACAAACCCUAUGACGACGAUCGGUCGCACCCACGCGGCGCGGAGCAUUUCGCUUUCUGUGUUUCUUCCUUGAUCCUGAAGCUGAGAAGCUGGAACUCGCAAAAGUCGGGCAUUCGGUAGCGGUCUGCGGAGGAUGCUGUAGAUGGUGCUUGGUUUGUAGCUCUGGAUUUCAUCCGAGCUAUGCUUUGUAAUAAACUUGCUGUGAUUUAUGCAAUGAAUUGCCGCCCAUUUCCUUUAAAAAUAUAAGAAAGUGUAACAGAUGAUCGGAGGAAAUUUGAGUGGC
rnacentral:rRNA from 1 species